rnacentral:lncRNA from 1 species
GGGGUCAAGAAAUGCAUAUGGUUCAGGUAAGUGAAUUAACGAAGGGAAGUUAUAGUGCUUAAAUUAGUUUUGUUGUUGCAAAAAAAAAAAGAAUUUUACUUUGGUGAUGAGAUAAUAUAAUUGGAGACUAUGCUACUCCAGAGUGGAGAUUAGUAAAGUAAGGUGAAGUCCUCAGAAUGAGUGUGGUCAAAGGUUAUCAAGAGCAUAACAGAUGGUGAUUAAAUCAGAAGUUGCAGUGAUCAAGUCAGUGGCUUCUUAGAAGAAAUAAGAGGAGGUAAAAGGAUAUCAUGUUACCAAUAAGGGAGUAUUGGUAAAACCUGAAGAUAAGUUUUGAUGAUGCUGCAACUUGUAGUUUUUGAAUGUAAUAGGAAAAUACUUAAAAAGCAACUUGUAGAUUUUGAAUGUAGU